rnacentral:rRNA from 1 species
AGGACGAACGCUUGCGACGUGCCUAAGAAAUGCAAGUCGAACGGACAGUAGCAAUACUGUUAGUGGCGAACGGUCGCGUAACACGUGGGCAACCUGCCCUGAAGCGGGGGACAACAACUCGAAAGAGUUGCUAAUACCGCAUGUGAAUCGCUGUGGCAUCACAGAGGAUUCAAAGCCGCAAGGCACUUCAGGAUGGGCCCGCGGCCUAUCAGCUAGUUGGUGAGGUAACGGCCCACCAAGGCUUCGACGGGUAGCUGGUCUGAGAGGACGAUCAGCCGGAUUGGGACUGAGAUACGGCCCAGACUCCUACGGGGGGCAGGCAAUUAGGAAUCUUGCACAAUGGGCGAAAGCCUGAUGCAGCGACGUCGCGUGAAGGAUGAAAUCUUUCGGGAUGUAAACUUCUUUUUCAGCCAUGAAACAAUGACAGUAGCUGAAGAAUAAGCCCCGGAUAACUACGUGCCAGCAGCCGCGGU